UAUGGGGAUGGGAGGUGGACGAUAUUCCAGAUGCCCUGUCGAAUGUUUUUCGAAGAACAUCAAGAUUCUUUAGAUGGCGUGACGUUGUGUUUAUGUUUCGAAUGUUCUAAGAUCGGACCGUUACAUCUUGUUAUGUCCCUUCGUGAUAUUUGAACGUGAUUUUGACGAAGGAGCAAAAGUUUAGGCACUUUCAAUGGAUGAAAUAUCCUUAAUCUUGGUCAGGCAACCAAGAGGAUGGGCAUUAAGUGUAUCACACUCUGGAGACAACAGACUUGCAGAAUCUUGAUGGUGCCAGAGUGUGGGUGUUUUGUCUGCAAUAUGACAACAUGAAAUCUUAGCAGAACUGAAGUGACUGCAUGAAGAAGAGUUAUGAAUGCUGAGAUGUGCACAACAAAAUUCUCAACACCCUGAAUCUUGAGUAUUGGGUAUAUCAGGAAAGCCAGAAUCCCAGACUGGUGAUUGUGAUCAGUCACUCAACAGGUUCCUGAGACCCCUUUGAGGCAGUGUCCUGCACAAGUCAAUGGUAUGAUCAGAUUUCUUUCAAACUGAAAAUUUUUGGAGCUAAUAUCUAUAGCACAGUGUUCACAAUAGAUGGGCAUAUUGCAUGUAACCUAGGGUUGAUGCAUUUACAAUGGCUAAACAAAUAUGCCCCAAACCAUGCAACAAAUUAUUUGUCAUCAGUAUCUACUACAGGUAUAUUACAGGAGGUUUUGAUGU